rnacentral:rRNA from 1 species
UACGUAGGUGGCAAGCGUUGUCCGGAUUUAUUGGGCGUAAAGCGAGCGCAGGCGGUUCCUUAAGUCUGAUGUGAAAGCCCACGGCUUAACCGGGGAGGGUCAUUGGAAACUGGGAGACUUGAGUGCAGAAAGGAGAGUGGAAUUCCACGUGUAGCGGUGAAAUGCGUAGAGAUGUGGAGGAACACCAGUGGCGAAGGCGGCUCUCUGGUCUGUAACUGACGCUGAGGCGCGAAAGCGUGGGGAGCAAACAGGAUUAGAUACCCU